rnacentral:rRNA from 1 species
GACGUAGGGGGCGAGCGUUGUCCGGAAUUAUUGGGCGUAAAGAGCUCGUAGGCGGCCUGUCGCGUCGAUCGUGAAAACUUGGGGCUUAACCCUGAGCUUGCGGUCGAUACGGGCAUGACUGGAGUUCGGCAGGGGAGACUGGAAUUCCUGGUGUAGCGGUGAAAUGCGCAGAUAUCAGGAGGAACACCGGUGGCGAAGGCGGGUCUCUGGGCCGAUACUGACGCUGAGGAGCGAAAGCGUGGGGAGCGAACAGG